GGCGAAAGCUGACGCAGCACGCCGCGUGAGGGACGAAGGCUUUCUGAGUUGUAAACCUCUUUCGGUAGGAACGAUUGUGACGGUACCUACAGAAGAAGCACCGGCCAACUAUGUGCCAGCAGCCGCGCGUGAUACAUAGGGUGCAAGCGUUAUUCGGAUUUAUUGGGCGUAAAGAGCUCGUAGGCGGUUCGAUCAGUCGGGUGUGAAACCCCCAGGCUUAACCUGGGGCAGCCAUCCGAAACUGUGAUGACUAGAGUUUGGUAGGGGAUCACGGAAUUCCUGGUGUAGCGGUGGAAUGCGCAGAUAUCAGGAGGAACACCAGUAGCGAAGGCGGUGAUCUGGGCCAAUACUGACGCUGAGGAGCGAAAGCGUGGGGAGCGAACAGGAUUAGAUACCCUGGUAGUCCACGCCGUAAACGGUGGGCACUAGGUGUGGGGACUUUUCAACGGUUUCCGCGCCGCAGCUAACGCAUUAAGUGCCCCGCCUGGGGAGUACGGUCGCAAGACUAAAACUCAAAGAAAUUGACGGGGGCCCGCACAAGCAGCGGAGCAUGUGGCUUACUUCGAUGCAACGCGAACAACCUUACCUAGGUUUGACAUGUUGGGAAAAGCUGCCGAGAUGCAGCGUCCUUCGGGGGCCA
rnacentral:rRNA from 1 species